AACGAACGCUGGCGGCAGGCUUAACACAUGCAAGUCGAACGAACACUUCGGUGUUAGUGGCAGACGGGUGAGGAACACGUGGGAACAUUCCUUUCAGUUCGGAAUAACUCAGGGAAACUUGAGCUAAUACCGGAUACGUCCUUCGGGAGAAAGAUUUAUCGCUGAAAGAUUGGCCCGCGUCUGAUUAGCUAGUUGGUGAGGUAACGGCUCACCAAGGCUACGAUCAGUAGCUGAUCUGAGAGGAUGAUCAGCCACAUUGGGACUGAGACACGGCCCAAACUCCUACGGGAGGCAGCAGUGGGGAAUAUUGGACAAUGGGCGCAAGCCUGAUCCAGCCAUGCCGCGUGAGUGAUGAAGGCCUUCGGGUUGUAAAGCUCUUUUGUCCGGGAAGAUAAUGACUGUACCGGAAGAAUAAGCCCCGGCAAACUUCGUG
rnacentral:rRNA from 1 species